rnacentral:sRNA from 1 species
CUGCAGCCCGGCUUGAGCGGAAAUCCUUUUUUGCAUUGGAAAAGCCCUGGCAAAAAAGAUUGGGAGCGGAAGACGGAUAAAGC